AUCAAAACACUCCAAAGUUACACGUCACAAAUUAGGUUUGCAGAUAGUGGGAGUAAAAUGGGAUAGGAAAUGAGAGAAGGAGAAAAGCGGACCUCCACAACGGCGUGAGCGAGAGUACGACGGCGUGAACGAGAGUACGGUGGUGAAGGCCGUUAUUGGCGGCGGCAAGUGGUUGUCGGAAUGGUGGAGGUUACGCCGGUGAAGAUGGUGUUACGGUGGAUGGAAAUCGGGUUAGGUUUUUCUGAAUCGAGAGAGGGUCGUGGGAGAUCGUCGUGGUUGUGGCUUGAAGAUGGAAUGCAGAACGACGAUGCUCGAGUCGAAAGAUGAAGAGCGGAAGCGAAUCAAUUCCGAAAAGGUGAAGUGAUGUUGAUGCUGAUUUAUUGAAAAAAGGGGCACUAUUAUUCAACAGAUUUUUUGGGAAAGUUCUGAAGAGUUGCUUUUGAAUUGGGAACUUUCAAAAGAGCUUUUGGAAGAGUCUGUGAAAUUUGCCUCAAACUACUGUGUCUUGUUCCAAUUUUUUAAUAAAAUUAUUUCUGAUGUAACAGAGACCUUUUGGAUUAUGAACUUAGGGAUUGCUUGUAACAUGUACAAACUUUAAUUUGGAAUUUCUCUUUUUGGCCA